GAAAAGAAAGAAAGACAUUCAAAGGAGUGAUGGCUGGGAUUUUAGCAGCCAGGCUGCUGCUGCCGAAUGGAUGUAGAGGGAACCCUGCAAUAACGUAGUGGGUUUAGUAAAAUUGCUUGUUGGCAUGGUGCGCCUUUAAACAGGUCAGGUCGCGCUCCUGACGUCAUCUGAUGCGCGUGAAGCAUGCAUAUGUGACUGACAGGAGCAAACAUGUCCUCACUGAUAUGGAUGUUCUUCUCAGUUGCAGCGGAUGACAAGAGCAUUGCCGUUUGUAAAGCGUGUUCAUCAAGGAUUCUGAGAGGAGGGAAGAACGCGACAGGUUUUAACACAACAAAUCUUAUCUCUCAUCUGAAAAGUCGUCAUCGUGGCGAAGCUAUUUUACAAGAAUAUGAAGCAUCCACAGCAGCUACUAUCACCAAGGCUAAAACAACACUGAGCGUGGUUGUCAAAAUUCAGCAGACAUUUGAAAACUGUAAAAAAAAAAAUUCCCAGAGACAGCAAAAAGGCUGAAGCUAUAAAUGACAGACUCAUGGAAUUCAUAGCGCUUGAUGACCAGCCUUUUCAGUCAUAGAGGAUCCGGGUUUUCGCAAGCUAAUUGCGCAUUUGGAACCGCGUUACACCAUCCCAAGCCGCCGCUUCUUCUCAGAUGUGUCCCUGCCUGCCUUGUAUGAUUUGGUCGCCAUACACAUUCAUAAUAUGAUUGACAAGAAUGGACUAAACAUAAGUUUCAACAAGGAUAUAUGGACAUCUGAUGUGAGUCUGGUCAGUAUGCUCAGCUGAACGGCUAAGUGGUUAGAUGAAGAUUUUCACCUGCAAAAAGUGUUGCUGCACGCACAGGAGUGCUCUGGGUCGCACACAGCAACGAUGAUAGGUCAAGCUUUUGAAACCAUGCUUGUAAAGUGGAAUAUAACAAAAGACAAAGUGCAUGUUGUGCUCAGGGAUAACACACGCAAUAUGACCAAGGCUAUGGAGGACCGUGGGCUUGCAAGCUUAGGCUGGAUGGCACACACUUUACGGCUCGCUGUAAACGAGGCUGUGCUGAGCCAGAGCAGGAAAAUAGUUGGUCACUUCAAGAACUCUCAAUUUGCCACCCCAUCUGAAAGAUUUACAGACACAACUAGGCACAAAAGACACAAGACUUCAACAAGACGUGCCCACCAGGUGGAACAGCACGUUUUACAUGCUGAGAAGUUUGUCAGAGCAGAGGCGAGCCUUGCAGCUUAUGCAGUAGAUUUCGAGUUACCUGUGUUUCUGAGCACAUAUCAAUGGACUUUAAUUGAGAACUUGGUAACUAUACUUGACCCAUGUGAACAGCUGACAAAAGACAUCAGCUCAGCUACAGCCACAGCAGCUGAUGUGAUCCCCUCUAUUGAAGCCCUAAAACGUCUGUUAAACAAGACUGUUGUAACAGAUCAUGGAAUUAAAACUUCAAAGAGCACCUUACUGCAAGCCAUAGAGCAGCGAAUCAGUCACAUCUGUACAGAGCCUCUGUUCUAUCUUGCUGCAAUCUUGAACCCCAGAUGGACUGCCAUUUUAACUAAGCAACGAAAAGGGAAGCAACAGAAAUUCUGCGUGCCAAGGUGAGUGUUGGAGAAAAUGUGGAUGAGCCAAAAAGGAAGAAGUCCUAGGCGGAUGACAACAACAAUGCUACGAUGUCACAUUAGAGCUUACACAAAGCCAAGCAGAAGGACAGAUAAAAGAAUAUCUGUCAAAGCCCCCGAUUCCCAGAACUGAGAGCCCGUGGUAUACUGGAGAAGCAACAAAUCCCGGUUCCCUAGCAUUGCCUCACUUGUACAGAAAUACCUGUCAGCCCCUUGUACAAGUAUAGACAGUGAAUGCUUGUUUUCUGCUGCCGCAAAUGUUAUUGAUGAAAGAAGAAACAGAAUUGGGUGUGAGAAGGCAGAGAUGCUACUCUUUAUCAAGAAAAAUCUUCCACUGAUGCCCUCACAUAAAUGGAAAAGACAAAUAAAAGGACAUUGGACAAAGUGAAAAGAGAAAAGAUGUUAAGUUGAAAUUGAAAAAUUUACAUUUUUUAAAUUUUUAUUUUCAGCUAACAUUUCAGAGAAAUCUGUACUCUAUUCUAUGCAGCUAAAACAGCAAUAAGUCUGCAAAUGCUUUUUGUUGAGAGAUGCACUUUAUUUUCAUGUUUUUGGAUUUAUGGAGUUGAGGUUGACAUAUGUCAAUGCAUUUAAUUUAUUUCAUAGUUGAAAAAUAUGUGACUCAAAAACUACUUCAUCCUCAGGCUCUAAAGGUUGUAUUAUUUUGUUAUGUAUAAAAUGCUUGAAUAUAAAUUUUGUUAUUUCCAGAUAAACAAGUCACAGUUCUGUGAAACCCUUUUCUCGAAAGAUGCAAUUUUUGCUUUAGUUGGAAUUUGAUCUCAGUACAUUUGAUACACAUACAUUUUCAUUUACAGCAACUGACCAAAGGCAUAAGGUUUUAGUUUUGAAAAGUGUAGCAGCCUGUGUAAACAAUCACAGAAGAUUUUAUUUAGACUUAUUUUUGUUUGAGAAAAUGCACUGUGCUAUUCAUUUUAGCUGUUUGAUAUUUUCGCAAAAAUACAAAGGUUGUGCAACAAAAUAUUAAGUUAUGGGUACCAUCAUUUUUGUCCAGCCCUAUUUCAUUAGUUUGUUUUUUUAAAUAAUUAUGUUAAUCAACAAUUCAAAAGUAAUGGCUGUUUUUGAUUAUUUAAUUUUCAAUAAAUUUUUAUUUAUUGUUA